rnacentral:piRNA from 1 species
UGUCACAGUAACAACAAUAAUUAAAAUGGUCC